UACGUAGGAGGCGAGCGUUGUCCGGAUUUAUUGGGCGUAAAGAGCGCGUAGGCGGCCUAGCAAGUUGGGUGUGAAAUCCCCUGGCUCAACUGGGGGGAGUCAUCCGAUACUGCUAAGCUUGAGGUCGGCAGAGGAAGGUAGAAUUCCCGGUGUAGUGGUGAAAUGCGUAGAUAUCGGGAGGAAUACCAGUGGCGAAGGCGGCCUUCUGGGCCGAUCCUGACGCUGAGGCGCGAAAGCGUGGGGAGCGAACCGG
rnacentral:rRNA from 1 species